rnacentral:rRNA from 1 species
UNGACCUCGGAUCAGGUAGGGAUACCCGCUGAACUUAARC